rnacentral:rRNA from 1 species
GACGAACGCUGGCGGCGUGCUUAACACAUGCAAGUCGAGCGGAGCGGCGAACGGGUGAGUAACGCGUGAGUAACUGCCCCCCUAUCUGGGAUAACAGUUGGAACCGGAUGCUAAUAGCGGAUAGUGGGGGGGGAAUCGCGUCAUUUCAGCUUGUUGGUGGGGGAGUGGCCUACCAAGUCGACGACGGUUAGACGGCCUGAGAGGGAGACCGGCCACAUUGGGCUGAGAUACGGCCCGAACCCCUGCGGGAGGCAGCAUUGGGGAAUAUUGCACAAUGGGGGAAACCCUGAUGCAGCAACGCGCGUGCGGGAUGACGGCCUUCGGGUUGUAAACCGCUUUCAGCCAUGACGCGGUAGUGGCAGAAGAAGCACCGGCUAACUACGUGCCAGCCGCCGCGGUAAUAC